ACGGGUGAGUAAUGCCUAGGAAUCUGCCUGGUAGUGGGGGACAACGUUUCGAAAGGAACGCUAAUACCGCAUACGUCCUACGGGAGAAAGCAGGGGACCUUCGGGCCUUGCGCUAUCAGAUGAGCCUAGGUCGGAUUAGCUAGUUGGUGGGGUAAUGGCUCACCAAGGCGACGAUCCGUAACUGGUCUGAGAGGAUGAUCAGUCACACUGGAACUGAGACACGGUCCAGACUCCUACGGGAGGCAGCAGUGGGGAAUAUUGGACAAUGGGCGAAAGCCUGAUCCAGCCAUGCCGCGUGUGUGAAGAAGGUCUUCGGAUUGUAAAGCACUUUAAGUUGGGAGGAAGGGCAGUAAGCUAAUACCUUGCUGUUUUGACGUUACCGACAGAAUAAGCACCGGCUAACUCUGUGCCAGCAGCCGCGGUAAUACAGAGGGUGCAAGCGUUAAUCGGAAUUACUGGGCGUAAAGCGCGCGUAGGUGGUUUGUUAAGUUGGAUGUGAAAGCCCCGGGCUCAACCUGGGAACUGCAUCCAAAACUGGCAAGCUAGAGUACGGUAGAGGGUGGUGGAAUUUCCUGUGUAGCG
rnacentral:rRNA from 1 species